AGAGUUUGAUUAUGGCUCAGAACGAACGCUGGCGGCAGGCCUAACACAUGCAAGUCGAGCGCGCCUUUCGGGGCGAGCGGCGGACGGGUGAGUAACGCGUGGGAACCUGCCCUGGGGUACGGAAUAACGCCUGGAAACGGGUGCUAAUACCGUAUACGUCCUAUGGGAGAAAGAUUUAUCGCCCCUGGAGGGGCCCGCGUCGGAUUAGCUGGUUGGUGGGGUAAUGGCUUACCAAGGCGACGAUCCGUAGCUGGUCUGAGAGGAUGAUCAGCCACACUGGGACUGAGACACCGGCCCAGACUCCUACGAGAGGCAGCAGUGGGGAAUAUUGGACAAUCGGGCCAACCAUGAUCCAGGCCAUGCCGCGUGAGUGAUGAAGCGCCUUAGGGUUGUAAAGGCUCUUUCAGCAGGGACGAUAAUGACGGGUACCUGCAGAAGAAGCCCCGGCUAACUCCGUGCCAGCAGCCGCGGUAAGACGGAGGGGGCUAGCGUUGUUCGGAAUUACUGGGCGUAAAGCGCGCGUAGGCGGGUGUGCAAGUUGGGGGUGAAAGCCCGGGGCUCAACCUCGGAACUGCCUUUCAAAACUGCACAUCUAGAGGACGGGAGAGGCAAGUGGAAUUCCCAGUGUAGAGGUGAAAUUCGUAGGUAUUGGGAAGAACACCGGUGGCGAAGGCGACUUGCUGGACCGGAUCUGACGCUGAGGUGCGAAAGCGUGGGAGCGAACAGGAUUAGAUACCCUGGGUAGUCCACGCCGUAAACGAUGGGUGCUAGGUGUCGGGCGGCUUGCCGUUCGGUGCCGCAGCUAACGCGUUAAGCACCCCGCCUGGGGGAGUACGGUCGCAAGAUUAAAACUCAAAGGAAUUGGACGGGGGGCCCGGCACAAGCGGUGGAGGCAUGUGGGUUUAAUUUCGAAGCAACGCGCAGAACCUUUACCAGCUCUUGACAUCCCUCAUCGCCGGGGGGCGAAGAGAUCGGCUUCCUUUUCAGUUUCGGCUAAAUGAGAGACAGGUGCUGCAUGGCCUGUCGUUCACCUCCUGGUCCUGAGAUGUGGGGUUAAGUACCCGCAACGAAGCGGCAACCCCUCAUCCUCAGUUGGCCAUCACUGUUUCGGGUGGGGCACUCUGAGGAAACUGCCGGUGAUAAGCCGGAGGAAGGUGGGGAUGACGUCAAGUCCUCAUGGCCCUUAUGGGCUGGGCUACACACGUGCUACAAUGGCGGUGACAGAGGGCAGCGAGCCUGCGAGGGCGAGCAAAUCCCGAAAAGCCGUCUCAGUUCGGAUUGUUCUCUGCAACUCGAGAGCAUGAAGGCGGAAUCGCUAGUAAUCGCGGAUCAGCAUGCCGCGGUGAAUACGUUCCCGGGCCUUGUACACACCGCCCGUCACACCAUGGGAGUUGGUUUUACCCGAAGACGGUGGGCUAACCUGUAAGGGAGGCAGCCGGCCACGGUAGGGUCAGCGACUGGGGUGAAGUCGUAACAAGGUAACC
rnacentral:rRNA from 1 species